AUUGAACGCUGGCGGCAUGCUUUACACAUGCAAGUCGAACGGUAACAGGCCGCGAGGUGCUGACGAGUGGCGAACGGGUGAGUAAUGCAUCGGAACGUGCCCAGUCGUGGGGGAUAACUACUCGAAAGAGUAGCUAAUACCGCAUACGAUCUAUGGAGGAAAGCGGGGGAACGUAAGGCAUCGCGGGAUUGGAGGGGCCGAUGUCAGAUUAGGUAGGUGGGGGGGUAAAGGCUCACCAAGCCAACGAUCUGUAGCUGGUCUGAGAGGACGACCAGCCACACUGGGACUGAGACACGGCCCAGACUCCUACGGGAGGCAGCAGUGGGGAAUUUUGGACAAUGGGCGCAAGCCUGAUCCAGCAAUGCCGCGUGCAGGAAGAAGGCCUUCGGGUUGUAAACUGCUUUUGUACGGAACGAAACGGCUCUGGUUAAUACCCGGGGCUAAUGACGGUACCGUAAGAAUAAGCACCGGCUAACUACGUG
rnacentral:rRNA from 1 species